CUAUGAGUGUCAUAAUCAUCCGGUGGGUCUAAAGCGAGUGCAGAGUCCCAAAAUGUUUGCAUUAUUGUGUUUGCCACAUCAUUGACAGCUCCAGAGCUACUUUCCACCUAUAAAGCCAUACAGAAUAGUAAAAUCAUAUAACAUGUAUAAUU